GACGAACGCUGGCGGCGUGCUUAACACAUGCAAGUCGAACGGAAAGGCCCUGCUUUUGUGGGGUGCUCGAGUGGCGAACGGGUGAGUAACACGUGAGUAACCUGCCCUUGACUUUGGGAUAACUUCAGGAAACUGGGGCUCAUACCGGAUAGGAGCUCCUGCUGCAUGGUGGGGGUUGGAAAGUUUCGGCGGUUGGGGAUGGACUCGCGGCUUAUCAGCUUGUUGGUGGGGUAGUGGCUUACCAAGGCUUUGACGGGUAGCCGGCCUGAGAGGGUGACCGGCCACAUUGGGACUGAGAUACGGCCCAGACUCCUACGGGAGGCAGCAGUGGGGAAUAUUGCACAAUGGGCGGAAGCCUGAUGUAGCAACGCCGCGUGCGGGAUGACGGCCUUCGGGUUGUAAACCGCUUUCGCCUGUGACGAAGCGUGAGUGACGGUAAUGGGUAAAGAAGCACCGGCUAACUACGUG
rnacentral:rRNA from 1 species